GGUUAAUAUUUCUAUACAGUUGACUGCUACAGGAAUUAGCUGCAAUAAAAUGAAAAGACUGCUGGCUGUUCUGCUGACAUUAUUGGCAAUCUAUGUGCCAUACACUUACCAAUCAUCCCCGUCAAGCGGCCAUACAUACCGUGAACCUUGCAGCCGAGCGAAUGAAGUAAGAGUGCCAUGCUACACCGGUGGGACAAGUGAAGCGACGUGCCCCGGAGUCUACAGGACAGGAUGCAGCACCAGUUCGUAUGAGGGUUAUGGUCGAAGGCCUUGCGGGUGCAGAGAUGGAACGUAUCGGAGGAGUGACGGGGCUUGCGUGCUGUAUGAAGACUGCACACCUGAAGGAAAGAUCACUAAAGAACAGCGAAAUGAUAUGGAUACCGUUCUAAAGGUG